UGGGGAAUAUUGCGCAAUGGAGAAGAACUCUGACGCAGCAAUACCGCGUGAGCGAAGAAGGUCUUCGGGUCGUAAAGCUCUGUCAUCAGGGACGAACGGCCGGUGGAGUGGAAAGCCACCGGAUUGACGGUACCUGAGAAGGAAGCCACGGCUAACUACGUGCCAGCAGCCGCGGUAAUACGUAGGUGGCAAGCGUUGUCCGGAAUUAUUGGGCGUAAAGCGCGCGCAGGUGGGAUCUUAAGUCCAUUUUGAAAGUUCGGAGCUCAACUCCGUGAUGGGAUGGAAACUGGGAUUCUUGAGUACCGGAGAGGAAAGCGGAAUUCCCCGUGUAGCGGUGAAAUGCGUAGAUAUGGGGAGGAACACCAGUGGCGAAGGCGACUUUCUGGACGGUGUCUGACACUGAGGCGCGAAAGCUAGGGGAGCGAACG
rnacentral:rRNA from 1 species